UUUUACUCAACCUACACAUGCAAGUCUCCGCACCCCGGUGAGAACGCCCCUAAGCCCUCCUGGGCCUAAAGGAGCUGGUAUAAGGCGCAUAUGCCCAAGACACCUAGCCAUGCCACACCCACAAGGGCCCGCAGCAGUGAUUAAUAUUGAAUAUUAGCGCAAGCUAGAUUCAGUCAGAGUAAACAGGGCUGGCAAAUCUGGUGCCAGCCGCCGCGGUUAUACCAGCAGCCCAAAUUGAUUUCUAUCGGCGUAAAGAGUGGUUAAAAACUUUUUCAAAACUAGAGCUAAACAUAGGUCUGAUCGUUAAAAAUUUACUAAAGGAAACCCCCAAACGAAAGUUGCUCUACUUAACCCCACUUGAACCCACGAAAGCUAGGACAUAAACUGGGAUUAGAUACCCCAUUAUACCUUGCCGUAAACUUUAAUUUACACCGUAUCGCCAGGGAACUACGAGCCAAGCUUAAAACCCAAAGGACUUGACGGUGCCCCAUACCCCCCUAGAGGAGCCUGUCCCGUAAUCGAUGAUCCCCGUUUAACCUCACCGCUUCUGGCUUACCAGCCUGUAUACUUCCGUCGCCAGCCUACCUCAUGAGCGAAACUCAGUUAGCCCAAUGACCACUAUCAUUUACACCGUCAAUACGUCAGGUCAAAGUGCAGCAAAUGAAGCGGGAAAAAGAUUGGCUACACUUUUUAACAUAAAAGAUACGAAAGACAAAAAAUGAAAAUUUGUCCGAAGGUGGAUUUAGAAGUAAAAAGACUUCAUCAUAUUCUUUUUAACAAGGCACUGGGGCGUGUACACACCGCCCGUCACCCUCUUCAACAAAACUACUUAUAGUAUUUAACAAAUAAUUUUUACCUAAGAAGAGGCAAGUCGUAACAUGGUAAGUAUACCGGAAGGUGUACUUGGAAC
rnacentral:ncRNA from 1 species